UACGUAGGGUGCAAGCGUUGUCCGGAAUUAUUGGGCGUAAAGAGCUCGUAGGCGGUCUGUUGCGUCGGCUGUGAAAACCCGGGGCUCAACCCCGGGCCUGCAGCCGAUACGGGCAGACUAGAGUUCGGCAGGGGAGACUGGAAUUCCUGGUGUAGCGGUGAAAUGCGCAGAUAUCAGGAGGAACACCGGUGGCGAAGGCGGGUCUCUGGGCCGAUACUGACGCUGAGGCGCGAAAGCGUGGGGAGCAAACAGG
rnacentral:rRNA from 1 species